AAUCAUCAACUCCUAACAUCUUGUGUGUUCAGGUGCUUGGUCUUGAGGGUCUUGCAGGCGCUCUGCCGUCUGCUCCCUUUAAAUCUAUUAGUGAGACUUCCCUUUGCUGACUGUCUCUUGGCGUGAUAGUUAUCUACGUCAAAUUGGACUGGUCUCGUUGGGCUUGCUUCUAAUCGUCUUCGGACAAUCGAUUUGGGUGCAUAUAUGCACUUCUUUUCAAACCU
rnacentral:misc_RNA from 1 species